UACGUAGGGGGCAAGCGUUGUCCGGAAUUAUUGGGCGUAAAGGGCUCGUAGGCGGUCUGUCGCGUCGGGAGUGAAAACUCAGGGCUUAACCCUGAGCCUGCUUCCGAUACGGGCAGACUAGAGGUAUGCAGGGGAGAACGGAAUUCCUGGUGUAGCGGUGGAAUGCGCAGAUAUCAGGAGGAACACCGGUGGCGAAGGCGGGUCUCUGGGCAGUAACUGACGCUGAGGAGCGAAAGCGUGGGGAGCGAACAGG
rnacentral:rRNA from 1 species